GACGAACGCUGGCGGCGUGCCUAAUACAUGCAAGUCGAACGCAGUGGGGACGGGUGAGUAACACGUGGGUAACCUCCCAUCAGAGGGGAUAACACUUGGAAACCGGUGCUAAACCGAUACUGAUGGAUGAACCCGCGGUGCAUUAGCUAGUUGGUGAGGUAACGGCUCACCAAGGCCACGAUGCAUAGACUACCGGGGAGGGGGGUCGGCCACACUGGGACUGCGACGCGGACAAGGCUCCUGCGGGAGGCAGCAGUAGGGAAUCUUCGGCAAUGGACGAAAGUCUGACCGAGCAACGCCACGUGAGGUAAGAAGGUUUUCGGAUCGUAAAACUCUGUUGUUAGAGAAGCGGUAUCUAACCAGAAAGCCACGGCUAACUACGUGCCAGCAGCCGCGGUAAUUC
rnacentral:rRNA from 1 species